ACGGGAUGCUUAGGCAUCUAGUGGCGGACGGGUGAGUAGCGCGUGAGAAUCUGGCUCCAGGUCGGGGAUAACAGUUGGAAACGACUGCUAAUACCGGAUGUGCCGAAAGGUGAAAGAUUUAUUGCCUGGAGAUGAGCUCGCGUCUGAUUAGCUAGUUGGUGGUGUAAGGGACCACCAAGGCAUCGAUCAGUAGCUGGUCUGAGAGGAUGAUCAGCCACACUGGGACUGAGACACGGCCCAGACUCCUACGGGAGGCAGCAGUGGGGAAUUUUCCGCAAUGGGCGAAAGCCUGACGGAGCAAUACCGCGUGAGGGAGGAAGGCUCUUGGGUCGUAAACCUCUUUUCUCAAGGAAGAAGAAAGUGACGGUACUUGAGGAAUAAGCAUCGGCUAACUCCGUGCCAGCAGCCGCGGUAAUACGGAGGAUGCAAGCGUUAUCCGGAAUGAUUGGGCGUAAAGGGUCUGCAGGUGGAACUGAAAGUCUGCUGUUAAAGAGUUUGGCUUAACCAAAUAAAAGCGGUGGAAACUACAGAACUAGAGUGUGGUAGGGGCAAAAGGAAUUCCUGGUGUAGCGGUGAAAUGCGUAGAUAUCAGGAAGAACACCGGUGGCGAAAGCGUUUUGCUAGACCAUAACUGACACUGAGGGACGAAAGCUAGGGGAGCGAAUGGGAUUAGAUACCCCAGUAGUCCUAGCCGUAAACGAUGGAUACUAGGCGUGGCUUGUAUCGACCCGAGCCGUGCCGGAGCUAACGCGUUAAGUAUCCCGCCUGGGGAGUACGCACGCAGGUGUGAAACUCAAAGGAAUUGACGGGGGCCCGCACAAGCGGUGGAGUAUGUGGUUUAAUUCGAUGCAACGCGAAGAACCUUACCAAGACUUGACAUCCUGCGAAUCCUGGUGAAAGC
rnacentral:rRNA from 2 species